rnacentral:rRNA from 1 species
UACGAAGGGGGCUAGCGUUGCUCGGAAUCACUGGGCGUAAAGGGCGCGUAGGCGGCCAUUCAAGUCGGAGGUGAAAGCCCAGGGCUCAACCCUGGAAUUGCCUUCGAUACUGUUUGGCUAGAGACCGGAAGAGGUAAGUGGAACUGCGAGUGUAGAGGUGAAAUUCGUAGAUAUUCGCAAGAACACCAGUGGCGAAGGCGGCUUACUGGUCCGGUUCUGACGCUGGGGCGCGAAAGCGUGGGGAGCAAACAGG